CCUCAGUACUCAGGACUUGCCUCGUGGACAGAGCCUGCAGUUCUGGAAUAUCCAUGGCUGCUCUGACCUGAGCCCUUAGUGUCCAGAGACUGGCCUGGAGCCAGCAGGAAGGACAGCCACUCCUAGGGCUGGCUCCUCACCCCUCCCACUUUGAACCUACAAAAACUUCAGCUCAGAGAGCAGCUCUGCAGUUCCCACUCUGUUAAUCCAGUGCCCACCAGGAGGUCGGUAUCCUGAAAUGUCAGAUAACUCCAUCCUGGCCUGAGUUCCCUUCCCCUCCUCUGCUGAGUGAUCAGAGCUUUGCUCAUUCACAUGCAAGACUGGCCCACCAACCAAGUUCAGCUGCUCCCAUUGGUCCUGUUUGUCCUGAACCACGCUGGAGCUUGGUAGGUAAGUGGGAUACCAGGUCAGUCAGGGCAUUUCUGGAUGUAAAGGGAGCUCAAGAGGUUGAACAGCACAGAGAGGAGCCCAUUUGGGUGUAGGCUGUGAUCUCAGCAGGGGUAGUAAGAGCAACCAAGCUGACCAGCAAAGCAAUUGGCCAAUUGCCUAGCAUACAGGAGGCACUGGGUUCCCUCCUCAGUACUGCAAGCAACACAAAACAAAAAUAGAAUGGGCAGGCCCUAGAAAAUGCUUUUUAAGUGCUUGCUGGAAUCUCCUGGAAACCUUCCAAAAUUCAAUGUCUGUGAUCAAACCCUAGGGACUGCUUACAUUGCACUAGGGUCAUGGAAAAUUCCGCAGGUAAGUAGAAGGUGCAGCCUGCGCUGUGAACCAUUGCACUGGAGUUAGACCUGCCUUCCAAUCCCAGCUGCCUACUUACUAGCUUGGUGAGCUUGUCAACUCACAGAACCUCCUGAAGUCUGUGUCCUUAUU